GACUAGAUAGCCUAGUGGUAAAGGCUUCACAUUGACAAUGCUGAGGUCCCAGGUUCAAAUCCUGGUCUAGUCA
rnacentral:tRNA from 1 species